GGACAGCAGGCGACAGAUGCAGGUGAUAAGUCCCAUAUGGCACAGCACAGUGAGGGUGGAGCAGGGCUGAUGGGAGAGAGGAGCUGGUAAGCCCUUUUCUUAGUGGAAGUAUGGUUCAGGAAGGCCAGAGAUCAAAUAGCAAAAACCAUAUCCUGAAGAAGAGUGAAGGCUUUAAAUUAAAUGGUGAGCCAGGCCUGUAGUGGUUGCUGAGGGACAGAAUCAAGCAAAGAACCAAAGAUGCAUAAAUGAGGAGCAUGAGUCAAAACAGGUGAAAUGAAGGCCUCCUUGAGUAGAUAUAGGGUGCCAAAGCCUGUGAGGUCUUCUUUGAGCUCCACUCACAUUUUCAUGGGAGAAAUGUUCAUUAAAGGCCCCAGUCUAAGUUGCAAAGUAUUUACCCCCACUUUUUAAAUACACUUCCAUAUUUCCUUAUCUGAAAUCUUUACAUUCCCAUGAAUUUGAAAUCCAGAUUUUAGAAAGGGGAUACAGGCAUGAUAUACCCUGAAUUAAUUAUUAUCCCCAGUGAGUCCUGAGGAAACCCUUGUUAUCAAACACAUUGCUAGUCAUGCAGUGAAAUGUAUGAAAAUUCAGAGAGUGGGAUAAACAAACACCAUCAAAAGGCUCAGGAUUAUUUCCGGGCAGGUUUUGCUACCAAAUGAGAUACAAACAUACUUUCAGAGUGUUUUUGGAUUUGGAAAUUCUGGAUGAGGGAUUGUGGACCUGGUACGAAGAGUUACUGUGCUUCUGGCACCCUGUUAAUACUUGUUUGGCUGGUUCUCAGCAGCAGGGGAGGAGCUGCUCUGGUUUUCUGACUCAAAGGCUCCUCAAUUCUGCUGGGAAAUCCCCAGAGUCUUCCCGCCGCUCAUCUUCCCAGAAGGAAAUUUGGCUACCCCUGGCCUUUUGCGUAAGCUACUCUGACAUGGUUGUUAGUCUUCAAUCUUUAUUAAGUGUCUGCGUGUUCAGGGCUCAGCUAGGAGAUAGAAGGACAAAUGGAAGAUGGGUUUAUCCUUCAGGAAAAAAUAUGUGUGUGUGUAUACAUGUAUAUGUAUACACGUGUGUAUAUAUUUGUGUAUGUGUGCAUACACACACAUGCAUAUCUAUAUAUGCCUAUUCCCACAUGUCUAAAUAAUAUAUAUGUUAUACAAAGAAAGAAAAAUAAUAAUGAAACAAAUGUGGCAAAAUAGUAAUAAUUGGUAAACUUGGGUAAAGAAUAUACAGGAGUUCUUUGUACUAUUUUUUUAAAAAUAUAUUUUAUUGAUUUUUUACAGAGAGGAAGGGAGAGGGAUAGAGAGUUAGAAACAUUGAUGAGAGAGAAACACCAAUCAGCUGCCUCCUGCACACUCCCCACUGGGGAUGUGCCCGCAACCAAGGUACAUGCCCUUGACCGGAAUCGAACCUGGGACCCUUCAGUCCGCAGGCCGAUGCUCUAUCCACUGAGCUGGGGCUAUUCUUGCAAUCUUCCUGUAACUUUUACUGAUUUCAACGUUAAAUUUUUUAAUUUCAGUUUUCAAAUAUUAAACUUGUAUUACUGUUAUCCACACAACAAACUUUAUUAUAGCACACACACAAUUUUACCAACUUCCCACUGCCCAUAUGAAGAGAUUUUAAUCUCCUCAGCAUCAUGCACAGGGACUUCUUAUAAUCUGGUCUCAAAUUACUUUUUCCCUACAGGUACUCCUUAUUCUGUCUAUGCUGAAAUGCUCACCAUUCAUCCCUCCUCCUGCAUUUUGUUCCUGCUGUUCUCUCUACAAGGUGUGCUCCCACUGCCCCUCCACUGAAACAUUUGAAACGAAAAUAAAGUGUCCUUCAAUCAACUAUGAGUGAAGAUAGAUUGACACAUCUCACUAUCCUGAUUCUAUCCACCAUGAAUAUGUGAAGAUCAGUUUGACAAAGCCAUUGACAAAUUUGCAGAAGUGAAGGCUCAAAGCCAGAAACUGCAAUGGGAUUAUUCAUCACCCUGGAAAAUCAACAUCAAAGGGGCAUAAUGAAAAGUUUUGGAAAGCAAGGGAGACCUGUACAUUGAUUCUGUCAGGUAAGAGAAACACUGCAA